AAAACUAUACUUUCAGGGAUCAUUUCUGUAGUUUGUUACUAGAGAAGCUUCUCUGAAUGUGUAGAGCACCCAUAAACCACGAGGAGGAGGUGUUGUGU
rnacentral:snoRNA from 1 species